ACGACUCAACAGACCUAACUCAAAUAUCUGUCUUCGAAAAAAAGCCCUUACACAAAAAUCUUCUUUGAUCUGUACAUCUCGCAGUAAAGGGGCUUUCCAUCGUCGUCUAGAUCUCUGUCUCCGGUCACCAUCGUCGUCUAGAUCUCUGUCUCUCCGGUCGCCAUCAUCGUCUCUGUCUCCGGUCGCCAUCGUCAUCUCUCUCCGGUGACCGUCGUCAUCUCUGUAUCCGGUCACCAUAGAAGGGACCCCUAAACCCUAAAUGAUAACACACUGCUCAGAAAGAAGUCACUAAAUCCGGAGAUUGGGUUUUUUAAUUUCGCUCUCAGUAAAAAAUAUUAGAUCAUAGGAAAAGCAAAUAAAAUUGGGGUGGGACCAAAAAAAGUAAGUGACAGGUACAUCAAUGAGUAUCAUGGUAACAUGAAACAAAUUCAGUGCCUUCCUCCUACAGAAGAGCCAGGGGUAACUGAUCAUAUAGAGCAGAUAAAAAACAUGAUCCAUUAGGUUUGUCUUCACAUUUGCCCUAGGUGCUGGACCAGUCCCUAGUCUCCUCCUAUCAGAAACAUUCCCUAACCGAAUUAGAGCAAAGGCAAUGGCAAUCUACAUGGCAAUGCACUGGGUCAAAGUUAGGAUUGCGGGUCACGGUUGACGUUACUUUUUUUGUUGCCGCUAUAUUUUUUGUUUGGCUCAUGUAGAAGUUUCAAGAACAUAUGAAGAAUUUUUAUUUUAUUUUAGUUAAGUAAAUAUAUAAGGUGUGGAUCAUGUACUUCUUUGAAAUUUGUAUAUGAUUAAUUUUUGUCUAAAACAAUGACUUGGAUUUGGUUAUAUAUAUAUAUAUGAUAUUAUUGGUCAGUUGUAAAUUA